UACAGAGACUGCAAGCGUUAUUCGGAUUCACUGGGCGUAAAGGGUGCGCAGGCGGCCGAGUGUGUGAGGCGUGAAAGCCCGGGGCUUAACCCCGGAAUUGCACCUAAAACUACUUGGCUAGAGCAUUGGAGAGGGGAGCAGAAUUCAUGGUGUAGCAGUGAAAUGCGUAGAUAUCAUGAGGAAUACCAGAGGCGAAGGCGGCUCCCUGGACAAUUGCUGACACUCAGGCACGAAAGCGUGGGGAGCAAAAGGG
rnacentral:rRNA from 1 species